rnacentral:rRNA from 1 species
GACGUAGGGGGCAAGCGUUGUCCGGAAUUACUGGGCGUAAAGAGCUCGUAGGUGGGACUAUAAGUCGACGAGUAAAUAUCUCGGCUCAACUGAGAUGCCAUUGUCGAUACUGUGGUUCUUGAGGACAGGAGAGGAAAGUGGAAUUCCCGGUGUAGCGGUGAAAUGCGUAGAGAUCGGGAGGAACACCAGUGGCGAAGGCGGCUUUCUGGCCUGAUUCUGACACUGAGGAGCGAAAGCCAGGGGAG